UUUCGGGUGAAAAGAUUUCAAAACGAUUAUUCUCUUAUACCAAAUAAUCAGGUUACACCCAAUAAGAUGUACAAAUGACGUCGUAACAAUUACAACGAAGUAUUUGAAGUUCCUCUUUCUGUAGUCGUAGGUGUAAUGUGUGUUGCUGCACAUUUCUGGAAUACUUCAAAUAUAAGACUAAUAAAAUAUAAUAUGUAUUAUAUAUCUCUGAGUUUCAAUUUCCUUGAUUAGUUGUCUUAAGCGUCGUUGAUAUUUGACUAGUUUGUAAACUGGUAAAAAAUAAUAGCGAUUAUAAAACUCGCCAUAUGUAAACAGUUCACCGCAAAAAAUGUUUGCCUCUUCAAAUAAUGUAUCUUAUUUUGGAAGAGGAGGACGAACAGCAAGUAACAACUGAUUUUUAUGAAGUAAUUCAUUUGCUUCCGAGUCUACCAGCGAAGAUCAAUAUGAACGCCUUUGGUUUCUUCCAUUCUGAUGGCAUAUUUUAAGAAGAAAAAAUAUUGAAAUCACCGAAAUAUACAAAUAUUGGAAUAAUAUCAACAGAAGAGCAGAAACACUUAUAGUUCAUAGCUCCCAGUGGCGUAACUACAGUUGACUAAUAGGGGAGGUUUACGGUUAACCCUACUUUGAAAAAGCAAAUCUUUCAAUUUUUCAUAAUUUGUUUUUUUGAAAUUGUUACUUAUAUUUUUUUAAAUUUCUUCUAAUCAAUGGGGAUGAUGAAUAUGUCCGCUGUUAGCGAAUGAUGGCUAUCAACUAUAUACCGCGCUCAAACUAAAUUUCAGCUUUCACAGAGACAACAACUUUGUUGUCACUAGCUUUCAGAUUUACCCCAGGUUUCUGAAAGACUGAUCAAAUCUUUGUUCAACUAAUACAACAUUCAACAUAACAGCGAUGUCAAAUUCAUUUGGGUUCCUGGAAUGUUGUACAGUGUAAAAUUAACUAAUAUAUGUUAUCUGGAGCUUUCAACUUGAAAAUUAAAAUGCGUUUCAGAAACCCAAAAUGACGCUUGACUUACAAUUUACGUGUAAAAUUAGACCACUGUUAACUAGCAGAAUGUUCAAAUGAAAGGAGUUAACCUUACUUUCAGCAACCCAAAUGACGCUCGUUCAUAGAUUUGACAGCUGCAAAGUUGAAUUUUACGUUGAUUGGCCUUUCAGAAACCGACCGUAAGACGGUAAGUCCUAAGUAGAGCAUGCGAAAACGUGAAAUUCUAUAUUUCAUGUUCUAUUGGUCUAAUUUUUAUGAAAUUCGCUAGGGGAAUUGGGAUUGUGUCGUAAGUGGUUCCAUACAGGACAUUUUGGCGCCCCGGCAAAAUAAAAUUUCGCCGCGCUGCUUGGCCUUAUUCGUAUGAAUUUUCUUUGAAGGAUCCUCUUUUAUUCGUCCCACGCAUCUUUUCAAUUUCAUAUGAAAUCGUCUUUUUCAACUCAAAAUUACCUAGUCAAAUUUAUCAAAGGACGUUUUGUCUAUUUCAUCGAAAAACGUCCUGAAUUGUUCAAAAGUACGCCGCUCUACAAGUCUAUAGUAAAAAGACGACGUAGUUUUUGAAGUAGCAUUUUAGUACCUAUUUGUUUUUUCAUAACUAUAUAUUUGAGAGCGCCGAUUUAAUUAAAAAAAAUUGGCUCCUGGAAAUUUUAUUAUUUUACUACUAGGAAAACAUUUUUGUGUCCACAGGAAUGUCUUGUUUUAUAAACUGACUUUGCGCCCCUGAAAUUUGGCGCCCCGGCAAAAUGUCCGGUUCCAUAGAAAUAAAAGCUCUUCUGAAUAUGCCAUGCAGAGAAUGAAUUUCCGGGACCUCAAUAUUUCCAGCUCUGCUAGUCUGAUUUCGAUGAUAUUUAGUAUGGGUAUUCAAGUUAGGACUUAAUUUUUCCAAAGGAAUUUCAGUUCUUCCCAUAUACAUAAAGCAAAUGCUGAAAUUUGAACUCCUCAGGAAGAAAAUAGUGUUACAAGACCAAAAAUAAGAAAUUAAUACUUGUCUGGAAACGUUUGAUUUCAUGUUUAUUCUGAAAAGUAUGUGCUUUAUGUAUCGUAGUAGCUUCUUACGUUUGAUUCAAUCGCUACUGAAAAUAUUUUUUUUCAAACCCCAUGUAAGAGAAUUUUAUUGAAAAAACUUUACUCAUAUCUACUUAUGAGUAUUUCAAAAAAAUAUGUAUUUUUUUUUGUAUGUCAUUAAACUAAAUGAUUUCUCAUCUGUAUUCACUGAUUCUAAGCUUCAAGAAUAAAAUGAGAGGAACGAGACGCCAUAAAGCUUUAUACUUUUUGUCAUCUUAGUUUUGUAUAGUAAGUUACUCAGAAAUUUCAGUACAAAAAUGACGAAAUAUUGAUUGAGUAGAAAAUAAAUAUUCGAACUCUCUCCUAAAAACAGUUAUCGAAAAAUAAAAUGACGCUGUUUAUGUUUAUCUCUCAAAGUAAAAUUGAAACGAAAUGAAUCGUAGAUACCUUGAGACAGACAAAAGCGAUUGACUUUAAAAUGUUAUUGGAAAGUACCUAUAGCUAUAAUCUAAGAGGAAACAAUUUGUUGAUUUUGUUUAUGCCGUUUUCUUUUGUCGGACACCAUUUACUCUGUUGUAUAAUUGGUAUAUGUUUGAGUAUCAUGGCUUUAUGACUAGCUCUCAAUUUCAAGCACUCGAAAACUGAUUAUUUUCUCAUAUUUGGUUGAUCGAAAUUGAAUUGCCCUAACUACCUUAGAAUUUCCAAUAAGAACUUAAGCACCAAUUACCAGUCCCAUAGGAAUGAAAGCUAGGUACUUGGAAUUUAUGAGCUUUGUGACGCUUUUAGGUAUAAAUCGAAAAUAUUACAUUUUUCAUAUCUUUAUACUUAAAAACCUAAAUAAUUUUGAGAUAUGAAUUCAAAACUGAAAUGAUAUUCAAUAUAAAAUUCGACCAAUAAUCUUAAUCAUAAUCAAUAAUAAUGAUAGCAGGUAUAUGGGACAAAAUCGUGUUCUCUACGCCUAUGGAAUACGAUAGGUACUUUCUGAUUGAGUACUGUCGGAUUUCAGUUCCGCCAUAAUCAUUUACUUUUGAUCUCAAGAUAAUCAACACUCUACAUAGUGAUUAUUGAAAAAAAUAAUGAAAUAAGAUGAUCUUCUCCUUGGUUUUAUAUGUUAAUGUUUUACAAUUCGGACUUGGAGUUGAGGCAAUGACGCUCUUAAAGAUGAGGCUAUAUCUUGGAAGGUGGCUAUUGGGUAUCUACAAAUAUAUCCUUGGGAGAUAAACCAAUGUUGUCAGAUGUUCAAUUUGUAAGGUAGAAUUUCCUUCAAAUAUUAUCUGAAAUAUAAUGUGCCACUUAUCACUGAAAUAAUUAUUCCUAUCAAUUCCUUAUCCACAAUAGUGAUGAAGUAAACCUUUUUUUCAAACUUCACUUUGAUGGUAAAUAUAAAAAUCGAAUGAAAUUCAGGAAUUUUCCAUGAAAAUAUAAGGGUUUGUAGCAUUGAAUUUAGUGUCAAAUUUAGUUUCUAAUAUUACUAUUGAACACUAGUAAUUUCAGUUUGAAAAUCUCCUAGACUGUUGAAUUCGAAAGUCAAAAAUGGAGGAACUGUAUUUAAAAAACCAGUCUUGAAUUAUACAAACAAAGCCAAAUGGUUUCAAAGAAUAAAUGUUUUG